AGUGAACGCUGGCGGUAGGCCUAACACAUGCAAGUCGAACGGCAGCACAGUAAGAGCUUGCUCUUACGGGUGGCGAGUGGCGGACGGGUGAGGAAUACAUCGGAAUCUACUUUUUCGUGGGGGAUAACGUAGGGAAACUUACGCUAAUACCGCAUACGACCUACGGGUGAAAGCAGGGGAUCUUCGGACCUUGCGCGAUUGAAUGAACCGAUGUCGGAUUAGCUAGUUGGCGGGGUAAAGGCCCACCAAGGCGACGAUCCGUAGCUGGUCUGAGAGGAUGAUCAGCCACACUGGAUCUGAGACACGGUCCAGACUCCUACGGGAGGCAGCAGUGGGGAAUAUUGGACAAUGGGCGCAAGCCUGAUCCAGCCAUACCGCGUGGGUGAAGAAGGCCUUCGGGUUGUAAAGCCCUUUUGUUGGGAAAGAAAAGCAGCAGGUUAAUACCCCGCUGUUCUGACGGUACCCAAAGAAUAAGCACCGGCUAACUUCGUG
rnacentral:rRNA from 1 species